AAAAAAGAAAAAAAAAACAACAGCCACGCAUCAUAACAUUCUCUCCCUCUCGUUUUGAUUCCGGUGAUCGGAGUAGAAUUCCGGCAACCACAGCACACCCAAACCUCUCCUCUGGUUAUACACUCCCUGUAAGACGACGGCGGUGGUGUGGCAGCCUCGGCGGCCGGCGAAGCAACCCCAUGUCUCUCCGGUUCGUGACUUGGGUGAAGGACUAGUCAAGGUAGAGGUGGCUGUGGUUCGAUUCGGUUCCGGCAGGUGACGACGAAGCUGCAGCGACGUGAUGAAGAUGACGGUGGGUCUCGGCAGAAGUUGAAGCUGGUGGUUGUUCCGGCUAGCGGCGCCGGCGACGGAGACGACGACGGCAGCAGGUGGUCCGUGAACUCGUGAAUCACUGGGUCAGUUAUGUCCAUCUGUGGUGUGGUUGACCAACUCAGGACAAACGCUUUAUUUACCGAGGAAAGCAAAGGUCUUUAGGUCCAUAAGGACUGGAACUUGCUAUCUGGGAAGCUGGAGUGGUCAUGGGUCGAGAUACGUGGAAACACAGCACAACGCAGAGAGCUUUUACAUGUGAUUUAUAAACACUUAACGAAUUAAAUAUGCUUCCGCUGUAAACUGUGAACUAUU
rnacentral:lncRNA from 1 species